rnacentral:snRNA from 1 species
AUUCUUACCUGGAAGUGGAGAUACCAUGACCAUGAAGGUCCUUUACGCAGCAAAGCUUAUUCAUUGCACUUUAGAUGUGCCAAACCCUGAAAUUUCCCAGUAUGCAUGAAAUUGGACUGUGUUCUUGCUUUUCCUGU